rnacentral:rRNA from 1 species
UACGGAGGGUGCAAGCGUUAAUCGGAAUUACUGGGCGUAAAGCGCACGUAGGCGGCUACUCAAGUCAGAGGUGAAAGCCCGGGGCUCAACCCCGGAACUGCCUUUGAAACUAGGUAGCUAGAAUCUUGGAGAGGUCAGUGGAAUUCCGAGUGUAGAGGUGAAAUUCGUAGAUAUUCGGAAGAACACCAGUGGCGAAGGCGACUGACUGGACAAGUAUUGACGCUGAGGUGCGAAAGCGUGGGGAGCAAACAGG